AACAACAACAACCAAAACCAAAAAGCAAACAAAAAGAACUCGAGCCCAGAACCUCAGGAUCAUUUCUGGUCGCUGUCCCAGGAAGCUCCCGGGACAAAUCUGGUCGAGGUACACCCAGGUCAGGUUGGGUCUGUGCCAUCGCGCUUCGUCAAGCCCACGCCCGCGGCGCCCUCCCCGCCUCCUCCCGGUCGGCUGCACAAUCCUCCCCCGGCUCUCGGAGAUGGGCAGCGCGGUCGCCAGCCAGCCCGCUGCGCCGAGGUGUUUGUGGCUGGGAGGACGGUCCCCUAUCGCCCAGACUCGGUUUGCGUCCUUCCUUCAACCUUGACUGCGGGUCCCUGCCACUCGCAAUAACACCACCACAUCCUCUGCACCGAAACUUCCCGCCAAGCAACACCCAGCCAAUUAACCCCAUCCUCUCCCCCAACACAGAAUUCCACCCACGAACCUAUUCCCUCUCCCCGCGCUUCAGACACCUCUCUCAUCGGAAAACCGCGUGAAGGGAAGCAGGCACUCAGGAGAGGACCCUGGCUGAAUUAGUAAGUUUUUGUUUGUUUUUUUCCCUCAGUCUACCUUUCUCUCCAGAAACCAGUUCCCACGGAAUAGAAGGUGCUGUGUUGAUGCUGAUAAACCCCCUGUCGAUGAAUUCACUUUGCCCUCCCCUCUUACCACCUUCCCAGGUCGGGAACUGUCUCCAGUUAUUGGGGGAUUCAAUCCUGCCAAUUGGGUCAUAAAAAAAAAAAAAUCCAAACCCGGGAGGCUGGCAGGGAACGCAGGGUGCAGGGCCACUUCCUUUUGGGCUCUGCGAGGUCGCCGGGGAAGGGGAGAAAGAAGAGCUCAGUGUUCCUGCCCCGUGCCAGGGCGCUGUGCCACAGAAGGAAAGCAAGCAUUCACUGCCACGAUGGCGGUUCCCAGAAGCUCCUGCCCCUCUGACAGCUGUCGCUUGGGCAGCCCAGGGAGACGAAUUGUCCUCCUUCCUGGUGCUAGAGGACGCAGGAAAUCAGCCAGGUUGCGAGUUGCAAAGCGGCCGCAGCGGCGCCGGGAACUGGACGAGCCCCACCUCCAGCGGGAGCGGCCGGGCCGGGCCAGGCCGGGGCCUCGUCUCGCUCGCCAUCGCCGGACAAAGCACAGCCGAGCCGGGCUAGAAGGCAGAGCGCCGAAGCAGGCAGGACGGAGCGGAGCAAAAGAAUGCGGCUCUAUUCUCGCAAGGGAAAUUAUAAAAAAGUUCAUGUUCACGGUUCCCAUCCACAUGACCGACAGCGGCCAAUGGAAGGGCCGAACAACUCAUAAAGUUGUAUUGCAAAGUUGUAAAUUUUCAUAAACAACAACGGAUUUAUGACCCUUU